GAAACAAAGGAUUCUGUACGCCACUCUCUGGCACCUUACAAAUCUUUCAUAUCCUUCAAAUUGUCAUUUUUCGCUGUAUCCAUGUCAUUUGACAGUAUCAUCUCACAUCAGAUUUGUUUCACCACUUGUCUUGGUUUGAACUAACAAUCUUUGUAUCCAAAUCCUAAAUGGACCUUUUGUUUAGUUUCUCAGGCAGAGGUUAGCUUUCUAGGAAAUCUGAAACAUCCGAACCUGUUCAGACUAAUUGGUUAUUAUUUUGAGGAUAACCAAACGCAGUUAGUAUAUGAAUUUAUGCCCCAUGGAAAUCUAGAGCACCAUCUCUUCAGGAAUAACCGUUUGGCAUCUGCUACAGCUUCGUUUUAAGCAUAUUUGUGAGCUUUCUAAGUAGAUGAGUUAUUUGAUUUUUUGUCUAUUUCAAAAGUCAAUGUGUUCCGGAAGAACUUAUAUUAUAAAUGGCUGCAUUGUGUGAAGUGCCAUGUAAUUUAUUUUUAGAUAUUUGUUGCUUUAUAAAAUUGGUAUCUAUUGACCUGGAGAGCAGUGCUCUAUGGUGGAUCUUAGAUUCAGAUUCGUUGUUUUACUGGUGAAGUUGUCCCAAAUAGCCCCAAAUUAUGGACCGAGACAUUUUUAAACCAAAUACCAAGGUUAAUAAUAGAGCUCAUGAUAGUUCAGCAUAUAUAUAUUUUCUGCAUCAUUCCAUACCUAUUAUAUUUGACUAUUCAUCUCGUUUGUUUCUUAAGAUAUAUAUGUUUUCUGCAUCAUUUUAUAUUUUUUUGUUUAACUACUAUUCAUCCCCUUUCUUUAACUCUGCGGUAAUAGUUGCAACCUCAGUACGACCAACUUUUAGUUAAGAAAAAUUGUGCUGGUGUUCAGUUCUAACAUGAAAUUGUUUAUUGUUCUCUGUAAUCUAACAUUUCUUUUUUUAUAUAUUUGAACAGGGAUUAUGUGCCAGUUUCAGUUUUUGGUAACAGUCUAUAGGACUUUUACACAUUCAAAGGUGAGAAUCAUUUAGGUUCAGCUCCCUUUAAAAAAAGUAAUGUAAACAACACCUUUUUGUAAACAGCAUCGUAGAAGAACCACGCUCCUGCCUACACACCAGUUUGUUGUUUCUCUUUCACCCCGCGAGCGCGAGUACUAGGGCAACCACAGCACUAUCCCUGCUGCCCAUGUCUUCGUUGGGGCCUUUGCUGGUGACCAAAACCCACCACAGCACUAUCCCUGCUGCCCAUGUUUUCGUGACAGGUUCAGUCUUUAUCUUCUCCUUUAUCUUUGCACAUGCAUAUUUCAAAAUUAACAUUCGAAAUUUUUAAAAAAGUUUGAAGUGGCUAAGUAUAUGUGAGCCUAUUUUGUUUCGAUCAGCUUGGCCAUGAUUAGUGACCCUAGAACACCGUACCAAUGACAGUCAUGUUUGUACGAAAGUAUCUUUGUUUACCUGAUGCAAAACCUAAGACACCGUCAUUACUUUUAUGGAUAAACGCCUUUCCUUGUUUGUGACCAUUGUAUUGUGGAUUUCUGUGGUAGAUUACUGAAAGGAAUAAUUAUUUAUAGUAAAAUACAUAUGUGGAUGUCAAUUCUCAAACACUGUUGUGUUCAUAGAGACAUAUUAAAAUCAACCUAGAUUGUUUGACGUUUGAACAAUAUAACAUGGAAAUGUGGGUACAUGAGGAUUGGUAAGCUUGUGAAACUCAUAAUUAUGAUAGGGUAGGUUUAUUUGCAUGAAAUGUGGUGAACAAUGAUAGCCUCAUUGUUGCAGCCUCUGUUCUCAGUGACAUUAUAUGAGUAGCCUAUGGCAGUUGGCAAUAGUUUGUUUCAUGCUACAGCACAAUACCAUCCUUACCCUUACCCAGUACUGGCUAGAUGGUGAAACUAAAAGUGUAUGUAUUACUAGAAUGGAGGUACAGGUACAUAAACAUUAAUAGGCUGAUCUAGCACAAGUACCUUUUGAUUAUCCAUUCAGGAUACCUUCGUAUUUUGCUUUGAUUAUUAGAGCUAUUGGAGUAUUAGAAGGGAUAGCUUUGGUGGGAGAUCCUGAACUUGCCAUUGUUGAUGAAGCAUACCCAUAUAUAUUGCACAGGUCCGCAUCCAGCCUUUAAUUUAAACUUCAUACACUCCCCAUACAUUUCUACUCUCUGAGAGGGGGGACUUCUUUCAGGAAUUCAUUCUUUGCACAGGUCCGCAACCGCUGGAGGUCAUAGCGCAAGAUGUCAAGGCCAAGAAGCGCAACCAGGCGCUAUGAGUCCAGGUUGUUGGUCACUGGAUCUACGAUACAGAGAAUGGCAAAACCUACCAUCAGAUUACAACGUCAAUAACAAGCCCAGUGAAUGCUGAAAGAUGCGCUUUCAUAGAAGAAACUAAGCUCUCAAGAUGGUGGCAGAAUUAACUCCUUUCCUGUUAUGUUUAGGUUUCAAGGACAGCCUCUGUAUAAGCUCAGACCAAGCAAAUUCCGUGAAGCAAUUGAGGAGGCUUUCCUUGCUGAACGUGGUUUUUUUGAUCUCCAAACGGAUGGGGUAUGCUCAGCGCGAAAGUCUGUAAAUAAGCAGUCUGAUCCUAUUGGUUUUCAGGAAGAGGCUGCUUCAAAUAACGAGCAAGAAUGCCAAUCUGAGUCUCAGGUUGUUGGCAAAGGGAAAGACCAUUCCUUGCUUAACCCAUCCAUAGUCCCUGCCAUGCCCGUUAGCAGGAAUUUGAUUGUAUGUUCACCGCGAAAUUUUUGAUUGUAUGUUGACUGGCAGGAUUUUGUUCUGUAUAGACUUCUAUUAAUUAAGGCAAUUCAUUUUGGAUGCAUUUAAUGUGCUUAUCUCUAUUGUCAGGUGGUUGUAGGACUGUGGAUCCUUUCUAUCCAUGGGAGCUGCUGCAAUUUUCUCACCUUGUCUUACAUAGGUAAUUGUUGUUCGUUGUUAACGUUCUUUGAUGUGUUAUGAAGUGUUAUCCAGUUAUGGCUUUAUUUAUGCAGUUUUUGUGGUAUUGUACACUGCCGGUCCUGUACGAGGUCAC